rnacentral:rRNA from 1 species
AAGGGCACCACAAGAACGCGUGGAGCAUGUGGCUUAAUUUGACUCAACGCGGGAAAUCUUACCGGGUCCGGACACACUGAGGAUUGACAGGUGUUUCGUUUUGAUAUAGCAUUCAUAUCAAUGCUGGGGGAAACUUUUUAAUAGAGGGUUUUCUUUGGUAAUACAUGUGCUAUUAUACAAAACAAUUUCAAAUAUGCUAGUCCUUUCAUGAUUGUGUGAUAGGUGGUGCAUGGCCGUUCUUAGUUCGUGGAGUGAUCUGUCUGCUUAAUUGCGUUUCACUUAUGGCCGUAAGUGUUUUAUAUUAAUGCUGUGACCUCAUCGGUUUUUUUAUAAAGCGGUGAUUGCGUCCGGUAUGAUAUGCACUGCGAAAGCCUCGAAGGCAACGAACGUGACCGCAGCCUCUUGUUGCCUCCCUUGUGCAAACUGUAUUGUGGUUUCUGCAUAUUAUACUUUUAUCGGUAUUUUAUGUGUUCUACUUUCAGUUUUUUGCCACAGUUUUUUCUUAUGUAUGUAUUAUCGUUUUAGUUCCUUGAUGGGAACAUUGCACAUUUGCAGGUCAUAUAUAUAUAUAGUUUUCGUACAAGUUGCGUGGCUGUAUAUUGUGUGUGAUUUGCUACAUGGUGUGUAUAUGUCGUUCACAGGGAUCCUAAAAUUUGUAUGUAUAUACAGCGAAUUAACCUGCAGUGGAGGGAAACUAGAGGGACCGCUGACUUUUUAUCUAACCAGAGGAAGGUUGCGGCAAUAACAGGUCUGUGAUGCCCUUAGAUGUUCCGGGCUGCACACGUGCUACAAUGAUUAUUGCAGUGAGCAUCUUACCCCAGUUCGUGGGCACAGCUUAUUUCGUUACACUGGUACUUUAAAGGGUGGUUUGUAUGUAUUGGUUUCUUUUUUGAAGCUGGUAUGUAUUUUCUACCUGUCAGUGUUAGCGGGCUGAUGCAUUUUACGACCAGGCUACUUCGAAAGUAAGUAGCUAAUCAAUUCGAAGUAAUGAUUUCCUUUGCAUAUCUCAUAUAUGUCCCGUAUCUUAUGGGUGUUUUCGCUUUUUAGCGUUUACAUACCGUAUUAUAUGGUGGCAUGUGCUCCAUUAAUUCGUGGUGGGGACAGACCAUUGUUAAUUGUUGGUCUCGGUCUCAACUAGGAAUGCCUUGUACGGGUCUUUGGUUCAACAGACCACCCGGAAUAUGUCCCUGCCCUUUGUACACACCGCCCGUCGCUCUUACCGAUGGACUUCUCUGUGAGUUUGAGGGACUGGAAACUCCUUUCUAUGGAAACUUAAACGAACAGCGUGGUCUAAAGGAAAGAGAAGUCGAACAAGGCA